rnacentral:rRNA from 1 species
ACGGUGAAGCCGCGAAUAGCUCAUUACAACAGCCAUCGUUUAUUAGAAUAUCGUUAUCCUACUUGGAUAACUGUGGCAAUUCUAGAGCUAAUACAUGCAAUAAAGCUCUGCCCGCAAGGAACGAGCGCAUUUAUUAGAAUAAAAACCAAUCGAGCUUCGGCUCGUAAUUUGGUGAAUCUGAAUAACUUUGCCAAUCGCACAGUCCUAGUACUGGCGAUGUAUCUUUCAAGUGUCUGCCUUAUCAACUUUCGAUGGUACGCUAUACGCCUACCAUGGUAGUAACGGGUAACGGAGAAUAAGGGUUCGACUCCGGAGAGGGAGCCUGAGAAACGGCUACCACAUCCAAGGAAGGCAGCAGGCGCGCAAAUUACCCACUUCCAGAACGGAGAGGUAGUGACGAAAAAUAACGAGACAGUCCUCUUUGAGGUCUGUCAUCGGAAUGGGUACAAUUUAAA